GGAUGAAGUACGUGCUGGUCACCGGCGGCGUGGUGAGCGGGCUGGGGAAGGGGGUCACGGCCAGCAGCAUCGGCGUCAUCCUCAAGGCCUGUGGGCUCCGUGUCACCUCCAUCAAGAUUGAUCCUUAUCUGAAUACUGAUGCUGGGACUAUGUCCCCUUUUGAGCAUGGGGAAGUCUUUGUUCUAGACGAUGGCGGCGAGGUUGACUUGGAUCUUGGAAACUAU
rnacentral:misc_RNA from 1 species